AGCGGCGGACGGGUGAGUAACGCGUGGGUAACCUGCCUCAUACAGGGGAGUAACAGUUGGAAACGGCUGCUAAUACCGCAUAAGCGCACAGUACUGCAUGGUACGGUGUGAAAAACUCCGGUGGUAUGAGAUGGACCCGCGUCUGAUUAGGUAGUUGGUGGGGUAACGGCCUACCAAGCCGACGAUCAGUAGCCGACCUGAGAGGGUGACCGGCCACAUUGGGACUGAGACACGGCCCAA
rnacentral:rRNA from 1 species